rnacentral:rRNA from 1 species
GCAUAUCAAUAAGCGGAGGAAAAGAAACUAACAAGGAUUCCCCUAGUAACUGCGAGUGAAGCGGGAAAAGCUCAAAUUUAAAAUCUGGUGGUCUCUGGCCAUCCGAGUUGUAAUCUAGAGAAGUGUUACCCGCGUCGGACCGUGUAUAAGUCUCCUGGAAUGGAGCGUCAUAGAGGGUGAGAAUCCCGUCUUUGACACGGACUACCGAGGCUUUGUGGUAUGCUCUCAAAGAGUCGAGUUGUUUGGGAAUGCAGCUCAAAAUGGGUGGUAAAUUCCAUCUAAAGCUAAAUAUUGGCGAGAGACCGAUAGCGAACAAGUACCGUGAGGGAAAGAUGAAAAGAACUUUGGAAAGAGAGUUAAACAGUACGUGAAAUUGCUGAAAGGGAAACGCUUGAAGUCAGUCGCGUUGGCCGGGAAUCAGCCUUGCUUUUGCUUGGUGUACUUUCUGGUUGACGGGCCAGCAUCAGUUUUGACCGGUGGAAAAAGUUCAGGGGAAUGUGGCAUCUUCGGGUGUGUUAUAGCCCUUGUUCGUAUACAUCGGUUGGGACUGAGGAACUCAGCACGCCGCAAGGCCGGGUCUUUGACCACGUUCGUGCUUAGGAUGCUGGCAUAAUGGCUUUAAUCGACCCGUCUUGAAACACGGACCAAGGAGUCUAACAUGCCUGCGAGUGUUUGGGUGGAAAACCCGAGCGCGUAAUGAAAGUGAAAGUUGAGAUCCUUGUCAUGGGGAGCAUCGACGCCCGGACCUGACGUUUUCUGACGGCCCUGCGGUAGAGCAUGUAUGUUGGGACCCGAAAGAUGGUGAACUAUGCCUGAAUAGGGUGAAGCCAGAGGAAAACUCUGGUGGAGGCUCGUAGCGAUUCUGACGUGCAAAUCGAUCGUCAAAUUUGGGUAUAGGGGCGAAAGACUAAUCGAACCAUCUAGUAGCUGGUUCCUGCCGA